rnacentral:rRNA from 1 species
CGUUUAACGUGGAGCGGUGAAAGGCUCAGUAACGGGCGAUUUAUUUGAUCUCCUGGGACGGACAACAUCGGGAAACUGAUGGGAAAACGUCUAAGUUGCAGUUGUAUGAUUGUGACGUAAACCUUUGGUGCAGGAGAGUAAGAUGCCAUCCUAUCAGUUAGUAAGUAGGGUAAGGGCCUACUUAGACGAAGACGGGUACGGGGAAUGAGGGUUUGAUUCCGGAGAGGGAGCCUGAGAGACGGCUACCAGGACCAAGGUCAGCAGCAGGCGCGAAAAUUAUCGAAGCCCGCCGAGGGGCGAUAGUGAGGAGACGUGUAUAACGAAGUACGUGUAAAGAACGUGCUAACAACUGGAGGUCAAGUCUGGUGCCAGCAUCCGCGGUAAUUCCAGCUCCAGGGGUGUCUAUGAUGAUUGCUGCGAUUAAAAAGUCCGUAGUCAAUCUGUCUGACUUGCCUGCAAUGUGAUUGAUUAAAGAACGAGCAGGGCUAGGAAAGCAGAGAAUUAGGAGCGACCGAGGGCUAGAGUAUUGAAUGGCGAGAGGUGAAAUUUGAUGACCCAUUCAGGAGUGACAAAGGCGAAGGCACUAGUCAAGGGCGAAUCCGAUGAUCAAGGACGUAGGCUAGAGUUUCGAAAACGAUUAGAGACCGGAGUAGUUCUAGCAGUAAACUAUGCCGACGCCGUGGUAUGUAUUUAUGUAUUGCGGAAGAGAAAUCAAGUAAGGCUUUGGGGAGAGUACGCGCGCAAGCGAUAAAUUUAAAGGAAAUUGACGGAGGAACACCACAAGGAGUGGAGUGUGCGGCUUAAUUUGACUCAACGCGGGACAGCUUACCAGGCCCGAUAAUCGAGCGAGCGUAGUACGCGAUAGGUUAAAGAGUGGUGCAUGGCUGCUAUCGACAGUUGGGGUGACCUUAGGGUUAAUUCCGGCAAGUAGUGAGACCCCUGCAGAUAGUGGACAGGUAUUUUAAAAAUACAGGAAGGAAGGGACAAGAGCAGGUCAGUGAUGCCCUUAGAUGGCCUGGGCUGCACGCGCACUACAGUGGUCAUUAUAAGACGAAAGUAGAUAUAAAGAUGAUCGAGAGGGACUGAGCUUUGUAAGAGGCUCACGAACGAGGAAUUGCUAGUAAUCGUAGGCUCAUUAAGAUACGAUGAAUAUGUCCCUGUACCUUGUACACACCGCCCGUCGUUAUCGAAGAUGGAAUUGUGUGCGAACGAGCAAUAAGCGAGUGAGCGCAUAGUUCUAGAUGUGAUAAAAGUCGUAACAAGGCAACUGUAGGAGAACCUGUAGUUGGAUCAUACAGAUAUUGUCAGCAAGAGUUUUAUAGUAUUCCUUACGCAAGGGAUCGUUUGGUUCUAUGUUCGAAGAAGGUCGGAGCAGUAUUCGAUAAUGUAAGAUGAUUGUAAAAGUUGUCUUAUGUGACUGAAUUGAGUACAAAAUGCUCGGGUACUCCUUUGAAUUAAGCAUAUGAGUAAAGGAAGGAAAAGAAACUAACAAGGAUUCUCUUAUUAGUGGCGAAUGAACAGAGAAGAGCCCUAAGUGUAAUCAAAUUCUUGUAAUUUGAGAUGUCUAGUAUUAUAUAGUGUGAAUAUGCUGGAAAGCAUUGCCGUAGAGAGUUAUAGCCUCGUAGCACUAGUUAUAGGGAUGAGUAGUUGUGCUCGGUAAUGCACAAUGAAAUAGGUGGUAGUGUCCAUCUAAGGCUAAAUAUGACAUAGAAACCGAUAGUGAAUAAGUAAAGUGAUCGAAAAUGGAAUAGA